UACGGACGGGGCAAGCGUUGUUCGGAAUCAUUGGGCGUAAAGGGCGCGUAGGUGGUUCUGUAUGUCUACCGUGAAAGCAUACAGCUCAACUGUAUUUUGUCGGUAGAAACUGCAGGACUUGAGGCUGGGAGGGGCUGGUGGAAUUCCCUGUGUAGCGGUGAAAUGCGUAGAGAUGGGGGAGAACACUCGUGGCGAAGGCGGCCAGCUAGACCAGUUCUGACACUGAGGCGCGACAGCGUGGGGAGCAAACAGG
rnacentral:rRNA from 1 species